rnacentral:rRNA from 1 species
AUACGGAGGAACCGAGCGUUAUCCGGAUUUAUUGGGUUUAAAGGGUGCGUAGGCGGACUGGUAGGUCAGCUGUGAAAAUUUGAGGCUUAACCGUAAAAUUGCAGUUGAUACUGUCAGGCUUGAGUGCGCAUGAGGUGGGCGGAAUUUGUGGUGUAGCGGUGAAAUGCUUAGAUAUCAAGAGGAACUCCAAUUGCGAAGGCAGCUCACUGGGGCAUAACUGACGCUGAUGCACGAAGGUGUGGGUAUCAAACAGGAUUAGAUACCCUGGUAGUCCACACAGUAAACUAUGAAUACUCGCUGUUUGCGAUAUACAGUAAGCGGCCAAGCGAAAGCAUUAAGUAUUCCACCUGGGGAGUACGCCGGCAACGGUGAAACUCAAAGGAAUUGACGGGG